rnacentral:rRNA from 1 species
UACGUAGGGGGGCUAGCGUUGUCCGGAUUUAUUGGGCGUAAAGAGCGUGUAGGCGGCCAGGUAGGUCUGGUGUGAAAACUCGAGGCUUAACCUCGAGAUGUCAUCGGAAACCAUCUGGCUAGAGUCCGGAAGAGGAGAGUGGAAUUCCUGGUGUAGCGGUGAAAUGCGCAGAUAUCAGGAAGAACACCAAUGGCGAAAGCAGCUCUCUGGGACGGUACUGACGCUGAGGCGCGAAAGCGUGGGGAGCAAACAGG